CGCCAGGCACGCUGGGAUCUGUAGUCCGCGGCUGAGCCUGCGCCCGCACGCCACGCGCCGCCGCGCGCGCGCGCGCGCACGCACUCCCGCCGAGCGGGGAAACCAGGACUCUUGAAGACUUGGCAGAAAGCGGGGCCGCUCGUUCUCCUGAGCCGAGACAAUGCUGGUGAGUCCAGUGUAGUGAUUCAGGAGAGACCUGAGAGAUGGUGUGAAGAUAAGAGCUUCCGCUUGGAAGAAGGCACAGCUAACCCGGCUUUCUAGUGAGCUGUGGCUUUGGUGGUCUAUCUCAAAGUGUGCUCUCCACAGUCUCCCUUUCACAAGCUAACAAAGCUCUGUGGUGACAGCUCAUCAUGGGUUCAACCACUAGGACAUCCACAUGCCCUGUUCCUGAUCCCACCCAGUCAGAGGAGUGGCUAGUGGUGCUCAUGAUCCACCAUGGACUUUGCAGAAAUGAUCACAAAGUCAAUUCAAGGUUUCCCCGAAGAAGUUUGCAAUUUGAGAAUGGAGCGUCUGAUCCUGAAAGCCAUGAUCCCAUGGGCUUAAGAGAAAUGAAACAGUUCCAAAGAUUCUGGACUCAUCUGUGUGGCCUUGAAACCAUCUAUCAUGAAACCAUGACAACAGAUAACUGAAGCUGGCAUGGCAAGAAGCUAAUGGUCAGGGCUGCUCUCAGGCCCAGAGAACAUUGCAGAAGAGGCAGCAGAGAGAUCAAGAGCCUGAGGAUGGAGAAGAGUUGCUAUGACACUGUCUUCUAGAUAUGACGUGGCUGUUGUCAAACCUUGUCCUGACACACAGUCUUUCCACAUGGAUCCAAGCUCACAGAUUAGACUGGAUGGCUGGCCAGCAAGCUCCAGGGAUCCACCCGUUGCACCUUCUCAUGCUCUGGGAUUACAGAUAUACCUGGUUUUACAUUAGGAUGCUGAGGAUCAAACUCAGGUCCUCAUCCUUGCUCAGCAAGCACUGUACCAACUGAGUUAUCGCCCCACCCCCUCUUUCUUUGACCUUGGGUGAACUGGAAGGUUCUGGAAAUAUACCCAGAUUGAAAGAUUCAUCAGAUUAAGGAAGAGACCGGAAGUAGUGACAAGAUCCCUGAAUUCACACAGAUUCUGACUAUUACAUGGAGAGCACGUGUUACACUAAUCAUUCAUUUGCUUAUUAAUGCAUACCACAGAAAAGGUUAAGGA
rnacentral:lncRNA from 1 species